rfam:Erythranthe guttata cultivar DTN x IM62 scaffold_154_contig_13, whole genome shotgun sequence.
GGUAAGAGAGUGGAGCUCCUUGAAGUCCAAUAGAGGAUCUAGCUGGGAAGAAAUAAGCAGCUGGUUUAUGGAUCCCACAACCCUAUCCAAUUUAUUAUUUAAUUUUGUGAUAGUUUUGUGGUUUGCAUAUAUCAGGAGCUUACUUUUACCCUUUGUUUUUUCCUUGUUUGGAUUGAAGGGAGCUCUACACUUUUUCCCC